CACGAGAAAAUUAUACAGUCACCAUUUUGACUUCAAACCACUGGUAUUGCCACAGUUGUUACCUUCCCGGCCAGUCCUCCUUUACUACCAGUCCCCUGCCACUACUAGCCUCUACGUGAGGAAAUGCAUGCAUUAAAGGUUACACCCUUGUACGCUUGACAUUCAUGUAGAGGCAAGCAGAGUCAAAUGCCGAGCCUCUACCAGCAAAGGGGGACUGCCAUGCCAAUCCAAGCAGCAUUUCGUAUACAUAUAUCACUCGUGCAUAUGCCACAGUGACACAAAAUUCCAAAAAAUUGAAAAGUAUUGAUCAUAAGAAUAUAUGCUUAACAAUGUUUUCUAGUUAUUUCUCUUUACCCUGUUCUUCUUUGUUGGGGGACAAGGCGAGUAUGUUGAGGAUAGCUUAAGGGCCUUGAAAUAUUUAGUCCACAAAGGUAUAUUUUAAAAAACAAUGGAAACUUGUAUAAGCAAUUCAAUUUAAAAAUAUUUAAAAGGUCCGUGCCUGUUUACAUUUGUAGUGCCUGUUAUUGUUUUAUAGCAUUUACAUAGGAAAUAGGAGUUUCAUGUAUAAUAAGUAUUAUGAGUUGCUGAAUGUUAAUGGAUGAAAAGUCUACGGAUCAGUUGGUCAUAUUAUUUUGCCAUAUUCGUAUCCUUCAUUACAUCAAGGUACCAUAUAAAGAUUGAACUACAAUUGGAAUCUGUAUUCUGUCAAUUCAUUAUUGAAAGCCACACAUCGGAGUGGCAUAUCCUGUCCCAGUUCUUGAAAUAAUAAUUCUGCCUAUGGUUCAGCCGGUCCUAUUCAUAUUCACUUAAGUAAAUUAAGCUAUGACAAAAAUUGGCUUCCUACCAUGAUUUUCUAACCUGCAGUAAUUGUGAUUACAUAUAAAUGCCACUAAAAUCAUCUUAAUUGGGUGCUAUCUAGAAUGUUAAUUCUUUAGUUACAAGAACUGGUAGGUGAAUGGUCUCAUGGGAUGGUGUGCAGCAUGGAAGGGAUAGACUCCUAUGGAAUGCUUUAUUGAAAGGAAUAUAGCAACUAGGAUUGUAUAGACUACAUGUUUAUAUAUGGCACCGAGUCUCAGGAGAGCUCGUUUUGACGUUGUCUGGACAUUCUGGGGCUGUCAACUGUGUUAGUUGGAAUCCUGCUAAUCCUCACAUGCUGGCUUCCGCAAGUGAUGACCGUACAAUUCGCAUAUGGGGCUUGAAUCGGGUAUGUUUAAAUCACGAUGAUAAGCACAGUAAUGGCACCUAUCACUGCAAUGGUGGAACUUGAAGUUGGGGACGAGAAACACUGUCUAUCAUUGUAUUUCUUAACAAAUUGGUUUAUGUAAAUUUUUUUACUUCAACAUUCAGUUGACAUAUAAUGAACAAGAAUUUGAACAUGCAUUCACCAGGACAAUAAACUGUGUACUUCGUUUCCA